rnacentral:miRNA from 1 species
UGAUGAUGAUGAUGAUGAUGAUGAUGAUGAUGAUGAUGAUGAUGAUGGUAGAGAUAUUCAUGAUCAUGAUCUUCACCAUGAUCAUGAUCAUGAUGA